CGGAGGGUCCAAGCGUUAUCCGGAAUCAUUGGGUUUAAAGGGUCCGUAGGCGGUUUUGUAAGUCAGUGGUGAAAGCCCAUCGCUCAACGGUGGAACGGCCAUUGAUACUGCAAGACUUGAAUUAUUGGGAAGCAACUAGAAUAUGUAGUGUAGCGGUGAAAUGCUUAGAUAUUACAUGGAAUACCAAUUGCGAAGGCAGGUUGCUACCAAUACAUUGACGCUGAUGGACGAAAGCGUGGGGAGCGAACAGGAUUAGAUACCCUGGUAGUCCACGCCGUAAACGAUGGAUACUAGCUGUUCGGAGCAAUCUGAGUGGCUAAGCGAAAGUGAUAAGUAUCCCACCUGGGGAGUACGUUCGCAAGAAUG
rnacentral:rRNA from 1 species